rnacentral:rRNA from 1 species
GAUGAACGCUGGCGGCGUGCCUAAUACAUGCAAGUCGAGCGAACGGACGAGAAGCUUGCUUUUCUGAUGUUAGCGGCGGACGGGUGAGUAACACGUGGAUAACCUACAUAUAAGACUGGGAUAACUUCGGGAAACCGGAGCUAAUACCGGAUAAUAUUUUGAACCGCAUGGUUCAAAAGUGAAAGACGGUCUUGCUGUCACUUAUAGAUGGAUCCGCGCUGCAUUAGCUAGUUGGUAAGGUAACGGCUUACCAAGGCAACGAUGCAUAGCCGACCUGAGAGGGUGAUCGGCCACACUGGAACUGAGACACGGUCCAGACUCCUACGGGAGGCAGCAGUAGGGAAUCUUCCGCAAUGGGCGAAAGCCUGACGGAGCAACGCCGCGUGAGUGAUGAAGGUCUUCGGAUCGUAAAACUCUGUUAUUAGGGAAGAACAUAUGUGUAAGUAACUGUGCACAUCUUGACGGUACCUAAUCAGAAAGCCACGGCUAACUACGUG